UUACGGUCACAUCAUGUUGAAACAUCGGUUCCCGUACGAUUACCCAAGUUAAGUAACGUCGAACCUAGUCAGUACCUAGAUGAGUGACCGCUCCGGAAUACCAGGCGCUGCAA